GAGCCACCUCUGAGCUCUCCCUGCUGGGCACUGUGGCUGGAUGGCAGUGACCUCCCCUUGCCCUGGGAUAGCUCUCAAGGUUAUUCCUUGAGGCAGAGACCUUUCUACAAACAACCAUUUGGAUGAGACCAAUUUGAAUUCUCUAAACUAGAACUGGACUGCACAGCAGUGACUCUCCCCUGGGGCUGGGAAUCCUUUCAAGGACUGAGAUUCUUUACAAGAGACUAAGAAAUCCUUCCUUACCCAAGGCAGAGAAAACCCUUUCUUAUGGAUCCUUGGUGUUCUAAGAGCUGAGACUUGUUUUGCCUGUGAACACAGUCCUUGAUGGCUUGCCUUACUACUCAUCUGUUUCUGAGAGAAGAGAAUCGGGAAACUCUAAGAAUAGAAGAGUUCUUGGAGAAUUUAGACAGUAAGAAAGAAGGAGAUCCUGAGCUGAAGUGCUACUGAAGGGGAGUGCAAGUUUGUGAAAUGAGGAGUAAGGAUAAGGGAGAAGCAAAGACAAGAUUUCCCACACAGGCUGAAGCCAGACUCAAAAUGUGAAUUUGCAGCUUCUGUACAGCAGCAUCAUUUAAUCCACUGACAGGCAGUUUAAUUGGCAGCUACAAAACUUUAAUUUACUAAGUCAGAAACCCUUUCUGAAUGUGUAACUCACAAGCUAUUGUUAUCACAGUGGCAAUUUGACAUGUGGCCUAGGUAAAUAAAGGAAUGAAUUAGCAUUCUCUUGAAAAAAAUCUGUUUAUCAAAGACUUAACUAUGAAGGACAUGCUCAGGAAAGGACUCCACAAGAAUAAAAAAUAAAACCAACAUAGUUUCAUAACUCAUAAAACUUAGGAGUGAUGUCCCUCAUUAUUUCUAUGAAAAUGCCUUUAAAAAGCAGUAAAAGAGCGCCUUAAGACUACAGUUUAAAAAACAAGGAUGGAUUUGAUUCCUUCAGUUAAACUGACACCAAAUGCUAGAAGAGUAGAUGACAUAUUUUUAUUUAAAAAAUCAUGAAUACUUGUCAGACUGAAAUUUAUUCCCAGGGGUUAUGGAAGGUGAGAAACCCACCUAAGGCAACACCAUCAGAUAUGAAAAUGGGAGGUUCCUCCUGGAGCUGGCUGGCGUUGGCUCUGUCAGACAUGGGGGAAGCUCCUGGCAGCUUCUCACAGAAGAUGGAGUGACUGAUUUCUCCUUGUCUUUAUUUUGACCCACGAGCCAUUACAAUACCCUGAACCAUUAUAAUACCCUUGAACUGAGCCAUUAUAAUACCCACUGAACUUUCCCUGCUGAGGGGACUGGCAGAGCAGCUUUGCAGGGCACCUGGGAUCCAGACAGGGUCAGCCUACAGGAAUACAUUAGGAUGGCUAGGAUUUCCAAAGAAAUCUAAAGGCAGAAAUAAAUUUAUGUAAACUUUUUGACAAAUUGUGUCAAAAAUAAUCAGUUCAUCUGUAAAAAGCAAAUGAAAUCGUGUUUGUUCAAUAUACUAUUUACUGCAAUGUAUUUAUACAUUUGAAUGAGAUAUACAGAGGAAUUUCAAGCUGCACUGAGUCUUGUGUUACUUUAGAAAGGAGUAAUUUACAAUCAGAAGUUUACAAAUGGAAAAUACAAAGAUUUGACUGGGAGCUUUUUUGUUCACCCUUACUUUUUUAACUUAAUAAAAACUCAAUGGAAUAAAAUUGUGGAUGUUGAGCCAUUUAACUCUGAAACCUUUCCAUCCUAGUAGGUUAGCUGUUCUCUGUUCAUUCUGAAUCAAUAAUGUCAGUCCUUACUUUUAGUAUUAUGUAGAUGAAACUUUGUUUCUGUUAUAUACAUAGCCAUACGAAUUCUGUUAGUCCAUUUGUUUUACUCAUUCUCUUUACGUAUUAAUAUAAUUUAGUCACAUUAAUUUUGUUAUGCUUAUUUAAAUUUAACUAUUAAAAAAAAAAACAACCUCUCUUUAGGAAGAUUUUUUUUCUUUUCUUUCUAUCAUUAGAACUCUCUGCAGAUCCUGUUAUGUCUUGUCUUUCCUACCCUGAUAGUCUUUGCACAACCUCCAUGGUCUUCCCUCAGUCUCAGGAAAAAAACAAAACUCUUACCCAACCAAACCCAAGGCAGAAGGCACUGCUCAGCCAGUCUACUCAGUGAGUAACUGCACUGUACAGUAAGGUUCCUCUGAACAAACAA